rnacentral:rRNA from 1 species
CAGUAGCCGCGGUAAUACAGAGGGUGCGAGCGUUAAUCGGAUUUACUGGGCGUAAAGCGUGCGUAGGCGGCUUUUUAAGUCGGAUGUGAAAUCCCUGAGCUUAACUUAGGAAUUGCAUUCGAUACUGGGAAGCUAGAGUAUGGGAGAGGAUGGUAGAAUUCCAGGUGUAGCGGUGAAAUGCGUAGAGAUCUGGAGGAAUACCGAUGGCGAAGGCAGCCAUCUGGCCUAAUACUGACGCUGAGGUACGAAAGCAUGGGGAGCAAACAGGAUUAGAUACACGUGUAGUCCCUGUCUCUUAUAA